rnacentral:rRNA from 1 species
ACGCUGGCGGCAGGCCUAACACAUGCAAGUCGAGCGGUAGCACAGGAGAGCUUGCUCUCUGGGUGACGAGCGGCGGACGGGUGAGUAAUGUCUGGGAAACUGCCUGAUGGAGGGGGAUAACUACUGGAAACGGUAGCUAAUACCGCAUGACCUCGCAAGAGCAAAGUGGGGGACCUUCGGGCCUCACGCCAUCGGAUGUGCCCAGAUGGGAUUAGCUAGUAGGUGGGGUAAUGGCUCACCUAGGCGACGAUCCCUAGCUGGUCUGAGAGGAUGACCAGCCACACUGGAACUGAGACACGGUCCAAACUCCUACGGGAGGCAGCAGUGGGGAAUAUUGCACAAUGGGCGCAAGCCUGAUGCAGCCAUGCCGUGUGUGUGAAGAAGGCCUUAGGGUUGUAAAGCACUUUCCGCGAGGAGGAAGGCGUUGCAGUUAAUAGCUGCAGCGAUUGACGUUACUCGCAGAAGAAGCACCGGCUAACUCCGUGCCAGCAGCCGCGGUAAUACGGAGGGUGCAAGCGUUAAUCGGAAUUACUGGGCGUAAAGCGCACGCAGGCGGUUUGUUAAGUCAGAUGUGAAAUCCCCGAGCUUAACUUGGGAACUGCAUUUGAAACUGG